rnacentral:lncRNA from 1 species
ACCUACCUAACAACACCACCCACCUACCUAACAACACCACUCACCUAACAACCCCACCAAUGGCGGACUGGCCGUCGGGAGCACCAGGACAUUUCCCGGUGGCCUGAGGGUCGUUUUGGCCUGCCGUGAAUAGUCAACUUGACCAGCGAUAAUAUAGCAAGCAGGAAUAAGUUGACGGAGAGUCCAUAAAUCAGGCGCGACACUCACACUCUCGCUGCAGUGUCCCCGUGCCAAAAAUGACCUCAGGUCUCUCCACGACGCACAUAGCAACCUUCUACCUGCUUCUCUACCGAUAACAUUUUAGACAAGUCGCACGGCGAAAUGGACGGUGAGAAAAGGAAAAGUGGAGCAGAGAGGGAGAGAAUAAAAAAGAGAAAGGCCCUUGCCACAGAUGCAGCUAAAUGCUGCAAAAUAAGCGACAUGUUCGCCAGUAAGGGACCAGGUCAGUCAAAAACACACACACACUGACACACACACGACACCCAGCAUGGCUAGCUAAACCACACACACUGACACACACACGACACCCAGCAUGGCUAGCUAAACCACACACACUGACACACACACGUCACCCAGCAUGGCUAGCUAAACCACACACACUGACACACACACGACACCCAGCAUGGCUAGCUAAACCACACACACUGACACACACACGACACCCAGCAUGGCUAGCUAAACCACACACACUGACACACACACGUCACCCAGCAUGGCUAGCUAAACCACACACACUGACACACACACGUCACCCAGCAUGGCUAGCUAAACCACACACACUGACACACACACGACACCCAGCAUGGCUAGCUAAACCACACACACUGACACACACACGUCACCCAGCAUGGCUAGCUAAACCACACACACUGACACACACACGUCACCCAGCAUGGCUAGCUAAACCACACACACUGACACACACACGUCACCCAGCAUGGCUAGCUAAAACACACACACACGUCACCCAGCAUGGCUAGCUAAGUAGCCUAGCUAAUAAUAGCGACACAACGGCAGGUAGGCUAAACAGUUUGCACGUCUUACGUCUUCUUGAAGGAAUUAUAUCAUAGCAAUGAGUGCAACAUAGUGAUCAUAAUAUGACAUUGAAGACAAUAUGUUUCAACUAGUAAAAAUAGUAAACCUAGACUAUGGACUUGCCAGCAUUCGAUCAUGACUCAUACCACAUAAGCUGGGGAAAGUGCACAUACACUGUACAGCGAAACAGGCUACAGUAACAUAACCAUAAUACAUCCAUGAACGGAACACAGUAGUCUGUGUGUCACAGCACAGGCAAUGACUAAGAUCAUUAGCGCCAUUAGUACAAGCAUUACAAGUUACUACAUUAAUAUACAGCUCUGGGAAAGAUUAACAGACCACUCCAAAUUAAGAGACCACUCUUCAUUUUUUCCCAGAGCUGUAUUAAUGUAGCCUACUGAUACACUAAUGAUAGUGAGUAUGAUAAUAAGAGUAUUUUCUUUGUAGGUGGAGAAGGAAGCAGCAGCAUCACUAGAGCUUCAGGUGCUCCUGUAGAACCAGAGAUGGUGGUCAGUACAGAGUCAGACUCAGAGCAGGAACCUUCAGGUACAACUUCAGAGCACAAACCUAAACAUGUAGGCUAUGAUUUUACAUUAAUAUGUGCUUUAUUUAUGAGAUUAUCAGUAGGACUGUAAUCAGGGGGCCAUACCUUGUACAUUUGUAUGUGCUAUGAUUGGUGUAUUCCUAGUGAGUUUUUGAGGGUCCACCCAUAGCCAUAGCAUACCUUAAACUCAGUGUUCAGAUAGGCUAUUUGUUGGUCAGUCCCAAAUGUUUGCAUUUUGUAAUGUGGAUGACUUUCUUCCCAGAUGAACAUAGUGGCCAAAUGUAUAACUAGUUUGGUACCCGUUACAUCAACAAAUAGGGUUAGCCUACAAAUUAGUGGUCUGGUGGUUUCCGUGAACAGGGUGGCCUGGGAUGGAGUCAAAUUCCCGGCCUGAAUUAUUGUUUCAGUCCGCCCCUGAACCCCACCCACCUAAAAACCCCACCUAUCUAACAACCCCACCACACCCACCUACCUAACAACCCCACCUAUCUAACAACCCCACCCAACAACCCUACCACUUAACAACCCCACCCACCUACCUAACAACCCCACCACUUAACAACCCCACCCACCUACCUAACAACCCACCUAACAACCCCACCCACCUACCUAACAACCCAGCUAACAACCCCACCCACCUACCUAACAACCCCACCACUUAACAACCCCACCCACCUACCUAACAACCCCACCCACAUACCUAACAACCCCACCCACAUACCUAACAACCCCACCACUUAACAUCCCCACCCACCUACCUAACAACCCAGCUAACAUCCUCACCCACCUACCUAACAACCCCACCCACCUAACCCCACCCACCCACCUAACCCCACCCACCUAACCCCACCCACCUACCUACCUAACAACCCCACCCACUUACCUAACAUCCCACCUAACAACCUCACCCACCCACCUAACAACCCUCCCACCUAACAACCCCACCCACUUACCUAACAUCCCAUCUAACAUCCCCACCCACUUACCUAACAUCCCACCUAACAACCCCCCCACCUAACAACCCCACCCACCUACCUAACAACCCACCUACCUAACAACCCAACUACCUAAAAACCCAACCACCUAACAACACCACCCUGAUAUCUAUAGCCACAGAACUCCUCUCUUCUGAUCGCCAGUCCACAGUGGUUCAGGCGGAAAACACACCAUUCUAUUGUCUCAGCAGGCAUGAUUUCCCUCACAGAGCGUGCAGCUCGCUUGCCCUGGCAUGCGGAGCCCUCGCAAAGAACUGCAUGGCUACCAAAGCUAUGAACAGCACACAGCAAAAAAAGAGAAAUCUACUGAAUCAUCAAAUGGAGGAAAUAGCCUCAUAAAAAUGGGAAAUGCAGACCACAUUCAAUAAAUGGACAUAUAUACAUUGGGCAAGAUUGUACAUAAAAGAGGAGCAAGAGUCCAGCUUCUGAAUUAUAACAUAUCAUUUCUGCUUUGGGUUUACUUUAAGCAUGUUGUAUAGCGGGUGUUUAUGGUAAUGUUAAUGUAAAACAGUAACGGAAUUAUGAUUUGGUCCAAAAUGCUAUAGAUAACCAGAGAAUGUAAUGAUCUACCUAUUAGGUGUUCAGCAAAGUUAUCACUCGUUACACACUGUAUUUAUCCAAUAUAGAGGUCAAGGGUCAGGGUCAGUAUACAUGGGAUAGAGCAGAGUUCGGAUUUAGGGGUGUCUCCUCUAGAGGUCAGAUUUAGGGGUGUCUUCUCCAGAGGACAGAUUUAGGGGUGUCUACACUAGAGGUCAGAUUUAGGGGUGUCUUCUUCAGAGGUCAGAUUUAGGGGUGCUUCUCUAAAGGUCAGAUUGAGGGGUAUACAGUACAUGUGUCUUCUCUAAAGGUCAGGGCAUAGUAAUAAUGACAAAAAGAUAGAUCACACAUGAUACAGUCUAUGAAUGACGUCAUCGGGUUCCUUAAGCACUUCCAGUAGUAACUCAAAAUCCAAAGAAUCAAUCACGUGGAAUGUUUGGAUGUUGUCGCACACAGAGCACUUUCCCCAUAGUCUGUGUGCCUCUCUCUCCCAGUGCUGCAGACAGACACACAGUGUGUCCCUGCAGACUAGUUCCACCUGUCUGAUCAGGUGGCAUCACUAUUUAACAGUCCUCAUCAACACCCACUAUUCUGGCUGGCUUGUGCUCUCAUAAACUCUUACUAGAAAUCAAGUUCAGCUCUGCUGGUACGCUGCAUGUAUUCACACUAUAGUGGGCUUAUAAUUCUAUAAGGGAGUCCCAAAAUCCGCAAGAUAAAAUAUGCUGCUAAAGAUAGGUGCAUGUCAACAAACAAAAUAUUUAUCUUUUAUUUCUAUGCAAAGAAAGAUAUUGCACAAACGUAUGGGGUUAUUACAUGUAAUAAUGAUAUCAGUAUAAACAUGGAAUAAAAACCUGUGCGAAUCAGACAACCUUUUGUAUUCAGCUAUUCCCACAUCUCAUUUCAUUUCGCUUCAAAGCACUGAAAUAAAGAAUGACAAUGCAUAAUUAAACCAACAUGUCCAAGUGAAAAGCGGAAGAGCAUCCUUUUACAUUUGUUAAAUCGAAGAAAAUAUAUAUUUUGUGUGUUUUUCAACCUAUCUAAAAUGACUAUUCUAAAUCUGACAUACUGUAUGUGCCGAAGCCUCAACAGGUUACUUUUCCAGGACUUUAGUUUCCAGCUGACAGACAGACAGCUGGUGUGUUCCAGGUGCUGCCAUAGCACUGGCAUUGUGUAAACCUCCAUGUUAGUCAUCAUCUCGUGUCCCUAUCAACACUGCAUCACGUACAGUUGGACUGACGAAUAAACGACUGAAAUAUUUUAUCCAAGAACCUCUGUCUUUCUUAUGAGAGUACUAGUAGUACACAUCUGGCCUAAAUUAUACAGGCAAUGUACACCAUAAACGAGUUUAGAGCAGCUGUUGUUUUGCACUUGAUUCUGUAUAUAAAUCCAUCAUGUGAUACUGUCCAUAUCUUGGUCUCAGACGUGUUGAAUAGGAACAUGAAUGUGAGUGUAUUAUAAAUAUGUAGGCCCCAUGUCAUGAAAAGAAAACGGCAUCAUCAGCCAGGAAGUGCAGCUCAAACUCCUGUAAGUGAAGUCUUCCAAAGUGAAGAUGCUUCUGUCACACAUGUACAGUAUAACAACCGCUUUCCUCAUGUUUAUACCAUCUAAAUGAAUAGAGAGCCCUGAACUUCCUUCUUAUAAUCAGUCUAUCAUUUUAAUUUGAACUUUACUAUUCCUAAUUUGUACCCUGACGCGAUUGCUUUCCUUUAUUUGAAAGACAAUUCUUGUGUCUUCUUAUCCAACCUGGUCUCAGAGCAUUUUGUAUUAUUCUGUACGUAAAUCCGAGACGUUCCAUUUAGUAUGAUAUGAUACGUUUCGUAUGGUAUGUAUUAAUUUGUGGACGUCCGUCACUCAUUUCGUAUGAUAUGUUACGAAUUACAAUUUGGAUUACACCAAAUACAACGGGUGUAGACUUUACCGUGAAAUGCUUGCUUACGAGCCCUUCCCAACGAUGAAGAGUUAAACAUUUAUAAUUAAAAUAGAAAACACAAAGAGCCUCCCGAGUGGUGCAGCGGUCCAAGGUACUGCAUUGCAGUGUUGCG